CUGGUAACUAGUUCUUUUUCUGAGCGUGUAUUAACUGCGACUAGUUCCAGAAAAUAAGCAACUUUUAUAGCACUGAUCACGGGCAAUACCUGAUAAUCGAUACCACGUCCAGCGGUAUCAAUAUCGACCACUGAACUGAUAUCGUUCGAUACUUGCACCCCAUAGAAAUAAUAGAUAAUAGCUAAACUAUUAUUUUUAUGUUGCACCCCCUUUUUCGGC